AGUCGAACGAUGAAGCUUCUAGCUUGCUAGAAGUGGAUUAGUGGCGCACGGGUGAGUAAGGUAUAGUUAAUCUGCCCUACACAAGAGGACAACAGUUGGAAACGACUGCUAAUACUCUAUACUCCUGCUUAACACAAGUUGAGUAGGGAAAGUUUUUCGGUGUAGGAUGAGACUAUAUAGUAUCAGCUAGUUGGUAAGGUAAUGGCUUACCAAGGCUAUGACGCUUAACUGGUCUGAGAGGAUGAUCAGUCACACUGGAACUGAGACACGGUCCAGACUCCUACGGGAGGCAGCAGUAGGGAAUAUUGCGCAAUGGGGGAAACCCUGACGCAGCAACGCCGCGUGGAGGAUGACACUUUUCGGAGCGUAAACUCCUUUUCUUAGGGAAGAAUUCUGACGGUACCUAAGGAAUAAGCACCGGCUAACUCCGUGCCAGCAGCCGCGGUAAUACGGAGGGUGCAAGCGUUACUCGGAAUCACUGGGCGUAAAGGGCGCGUAGGCGGAUUAUCAAGUCUCUUGUGAAAUCUAAUGGCUUAACCAUUAAACUGCUUGGGAAACUGAUAGUCUAGAGUGAGGGAGAGGCAGAUGGAAUUGGUGGUGUAGGGGUAAAAUCCGUAGAUAUCACCAAGAAUACCCAUUGCGAAGGCGAUCUGCUGGAACUCAACUGACGCUAAGGCGCGAAAGCGUGGGGAGCAAACAGGAUUAGAUACCCUGGUAGUCCACGCCCUAAACGAUGUACACUAGUUGUUGGGAUGCUAGUCAUCUCAGUAAUGCAGCUAACGCAUUAAGUGUACCGCCUGGGGAGUACGGUCGCAAGAUUAAAACUCAAAGGAAUAGACGGGGACCCGCACAAGCGGUGGAGCAUGUGGUUUAAUUCGAAGAUACGCGAAGAACCUUACCUGGGCUUGAUAUCCUAAGAACCUUAUAGAGAUAUGAGGGUGCUAGCUUGCUAGAACUUAGAGACAGGUGCUGCACGGCUGUCGUCAGCUCGUGUCGUGAGAUGUUGGGUUAAGUCCCGCAACGAGCGCAACCCACGUAUUUAGUUGCUAACGGUUCGGCCGAGCACUCUAAAUAGACUGCCUUCGUAAGGAGGAGGAAGGUGUGGACGACGUCAAGUCAUCAUGGCCCUUAUGCCCAGGGCGACACACGUGCUACAAUGGCAUAUACAAUGAGACGCAAUACCGCGAGGUGGAGCAAAUCUAUAAAAUAUGUCCCAGUUCGGAUUGUUCUCUGCAACUCGAGAGCAUGAAGCCGGAAUCGCUAGUAAUCGUAGAUCAGCCAUGCUACGGUGAAUACGUUCCCGGGUCUNNNACUCACCGCCCGUCACACCAUGGGAGUUGAUUCACUCGAAGCCGGAAUACUAA
rnacentral:rRNA from 1 species